UUGAUAUCCCGCCAUUUGUCCUGGUAUACGAUUUCAAAGCUACUCUCUGCGACCACUACUAGUGAAGAUUAGAAAUCACCAAUCGAAGACCCUAAUACUUGAAAGAACGUGAAUCGAAACUUUAUUGGGGCUAUUUUCACUAGAGCCAGAGAUGUCUUAAUUUCUAGAAGUGAUGUUAUCAAGGUUUACAAAGAAAAGAUUCUAAAUAGCCCCCAUGUGUGUGGAAUUGCUGAUGCUAUUUAUAAUGACAUGAUGAGAAGUGCUUUGAAAGUGAUAUUGUGAUGUUGAAGAAUCAAGAUAAGUAAAAUAAGGGUGUCUAAGGGAAAUUAACUCAUAUUCAUUAGAGAAUUGUUUGGUAUCAUGGAAAAAGUACUUGCAUCAUUUCUUAUGUUUAAGGUAACUAUUUAUGAAUUUUGUGUAGUAUGUUAUUGGAAAUAUUUAGGUGAAACUUGAAAUAGUGAUUUAUACUUUGGACUUUGAUUUAGAGUAUGCUAACUUAUUAGUGAAAUAAUUGUUGUAUCUCAUGACUUUCAGGACCAACACCUCCAUCUUUUCAA